rnacentral:misc_RNA from 1 species
GUUUGAUCAUUGCAUUAACACUUGAUGUGUAAAGUUAAUAAUUUAGCACAAGAACUCGAUAGGACUGAAUUCGAAGUCAAAAAGAUCUAGAUAUGUAGAUGAAGGUAGGUAAAUUAAUUAUAGCUUAACAAUGAAAGUUACAAAAAUGUCAACUCUGGCACAUCCAGCCAACAAUCUAUUUAUGCAGGAUAAAUAUUUCAACAGGUUCCCAUUUGAGAUAAACUGUGCUUUUGCAUUUAGUCUCAUAUCUAACAACUUGAAGCCCAAACCCGUCAGUAAUAAUCAUGAUUAUUGUAUCAACUAUGACCUUGUUUAACCAAUUGCAUAGAAACUAUCAACUCAAGUUUGAUAAUGGCAUUCUAGACAAGCUGACACGCCUCCUCAACUGAGAAAGCUGGACAAGAAUGGGAGCCAUUGAGAAUUCUAUUUGCUACCCAUAAAUUAGCUGCCUCAGAAUAGUGUAUACCAUCCCAGCUAAUAUGCAUUGAUGGAUGCCCGCAUGGGUUCCCGUAAACUGUUCCAUUCACUAUGGCCUUCUUUCCACAAUCAAUAUGAACUCCAUAGAAACUGCCACAACAGAAAUUCAUCGGAUCGAUGAAACCUGCGAAUUGUGGUAAAAUCAAAUACCAAUAGUUAUCAGACCAUGGUUCUCAGAGAAGUAUGAUUAGAGAAGUAAUGUUACCUUGACUCCUUGCAGUACUAAUUAGCUGAUAUUUAACAGAGUACACAUCAACAUAUGUGAAAGCUGAAUGAGGGAGCUGCGUGCUCAGCUGGGAUACCUUAUUUUUCAGCUGCCGAUUAAACUCCUGAGCAAUCUCAUUUUGAGACUUCACACAUCUAUUUUGAUCAAGAUUACCUGGAUUUGAGUUGUGAUAUAAAUAACUGUAGGGCAAGCAACCAAGUGGACCUGUAUUAUGCACCCAGAAAAUUCUAGCCUCUUCCUCAUAUAGCCGAUGCACAGCUUCUGCAAACUGGUUAAGAAUAUCAGGAAUGGACUUUCUAACUUGUUCCUCUGUUGUGUGUUGAAAUCCAUAGGCCAGGUCAUUCUGCCCAAUGUCAAAUGUGUAUAUAGCCCUUGAGAAAUCUGCAGGCCUAGGAAGAUUGCUUUUGAAGGGUGGGAUUUUUCCAGGAUCACUGGGGCUGAGUUGAUUAUACAAAGCUGUGGUGCGAGCUUUGAACUGUAUGAACUGGGAAAUUUGUAUGCCUAGAUGGAAUGGGCUAUAACCGCCCAGGCGAAUGGAAGAACCUCCUGUCGCAAAGUUUGCACCAUGUCUGAAAUCUGCCCCAACUGAGUCCAAGUAUGCACUAAGAUAUGGCAACUUCAACCUCUCAGCUAUAAAGUCUAUAAUCAGACGACCAUCACAAGCUCUUCCUGAAGGAUGUCCAAAGAAAGUUUCACCAUUUGGUGAAGUGACCUCCGAUAAUGCUGCAGAUAUUGCCCCAGUAUCCGAAUUCGAAUCCCCAAAGUUGUAAAUUGCCUGGAAUCCACAUUUCUGCAAACCGGUGCCAUCCAUCACCACUCUUGGUUGUGCCAAAACUAAAAGCCCAAAUACACAAAUUAGCCUCAAAGGGUCCAUGCUAGCUAAGUUUCAGCAGCAGCAGUACCCUUCAAAAGGCCAAGCUACCCACACUACAACUAGCCUUUCUUUAUCUAUCACUCUUUUAGAAUUCUGUUCUAAGCUUUGAAAGUGAUAAAAAGAAGCAUUCAAACUGCUGC